UCCUUUCCUCCAAAAACUCCAACCAGCUGAGUUCUCAAAGAUUUAUUGUAAAACAGAAAUAAAAGAAAUAAAACAUAAAUGCAGUUACUCAGCUGAACACAUUCCCUUUGGAAGGUCUUUGUCCCCAUUCCAGGAACCCAUGGCGCACAGAUGCUUCUCUGACCACGUCUCAAGAUGGAAUCCAAAAAUCUUUGUUUCCCCCCUCUCAGGAAAAC